AAAUUCACCGUCGAUUGGGUUUAUGAAAAAUGCAAAAGAUAACAUACAACAUUAAGAAAAUCCUACAGCAUAUAU
rnacentral:sRNA from 1 species